AGCGCGGGAGCAAUCCUGGCGGCGAGUGGCGAACGGGUGAGUAAUACAUCGGAACGUGCCCAAUCGUGGGGGAUAACGCAGCGAAAGCUGUGCUAAUACCGCAUACGAUCUACGGAUGAAAGCAGGGGAUCGCAAGACCUUGCGCGAAUGGAGCGGCCGAUGGCAGAUUAGGUAGUUGGUGAGGUAAAGGCUCACCAAGCCUUCGAUCUGUAGCUGGUCUGAGAGGACGACCAGCCACACUGGGACUGAGACACGGCCCAGACCCCUACGGGAGGCAGCAGUGGGGAAUUUUGGACAAUGGGCGAAAGCCUGAUCCAGCCAUGCCGCGUGCAGGAUGAAGGCCUUCGGGUUGUAAACUGCUUUUGUACGGAACGAAACGGUCUUUUCUAAUAAAGAAGGCUAAUGACGGUACCGUAAGAAUAAGCACCGGCUAACUACGUGCCAGCAGCCGCGGUAAUACGUAGGGUGCAAGCGUUAAUCGGAAUUACUGGGCGUAAAGCGUGCGCAGGCGGUGAUGUAAGACAGUUGUGAAAUCCCCGGGCUCAACCUGGGAACUGCAUCUGUGACUGCAUCGCUGGAGUACGGCAGAGGGGGAUGGAAUUCCGCGUGUAGCAGUGAAAUGCGUAGAUAUGCGGAGGAACACCGAU
rnacentral:rRNA from 1 species